rnacentral:rRNA from 1 species
GUCUCAGGCCGUAUCAGCCUGAAGGCGCCCGAUCUCGUCUGAUCUCGGAAGCUAAGCAGGGUCGGGCCUGGUUAGUAUCUUGGAUGGGAGACCACCUGGGAAUCCCGGGUGCUCGAGCUC